GCCCCGGUGCUGGAACUGGUAGACAGGCACGGUUCAGGACCGUGUGACUUCAUUGUCAUGGGAGUUCGACCCUCCCCCGGGGCA
rnacentral:tRNA from 1 species